rnacentral:rRNA from 1 species
UAGGGAAUUUCGUCAAUGGGCGCAAGCCUGAACGAGCAAUGCCGCGUGAACGAGGAAGGUCUUCGGAUCGUAAAGUUCUGUUGAAGGGGAAAAAGAGCGGAGAGAGGAAAUGGUCUCCGAUUGAUAUUACCCUUCGAGGAAGUCACGGCUAACUACGUGCC